rnacentral:lncRNA from 1 species
UCCUCUUCCUGGACAUUGAUCAUGUAAAGGAUUACAGAGGUUAAAGUUCAACGUGACAAUGUUAGUAAAUGAACCACAUGUUGUGUACCGUUUCAGAUUUUAUUUCAACAGUCAACAUACAUCUACUGCUUAUCAGCUUCAUCCAAAUGUCCACAUUGUCUGUUGUAAAACUAGCUAUAUUCUGACACAGCAACAACAACCCCAUAACAGACCUACUAUCUCUCACACACGUCCACACACUGUGGGAGCUGAACCUGUCUCAGGUCUGGGUCAGGACCACUGGUCUCAGGUCAGGGAUGGGACCACUGGUCUCAGGUCAGGGUUCAGGUCAGGACCACUGUUCUCAGGUCAGGGAUGGGACCACAGGGUUCAGGUCAGGGAUGGGACCACUGACCUCAGGACAGGGUUCAGGUCAGGGAUGGGACCACUGACCUCAGGACAAGGUUCAGGUCAGGGAUGGGACCACUGGUCUCAGGACAGGGAAGGGACCACUGGUCUCCAGUCAGAACUUAUUCAAAGCCUUUACCACAGGUAUCAGUCAUUACAUCAUUCCUUUACCACAGGUAUCAGUCAUUACAUCAUUACAUCAUUCCUUUACCACAGGUUUCAGUCAUUACAUCAUUACAUCAUUCCUUUACCACAGGUUUCAAUCAUUCAGUUCAGUUAUCCGUUCAGUUAUCAACCACAGGUAUCAAUCAUUACAUCAUUCCUUAACCACAGGUAUCAGUCAUUACAUCAUUCCUUAACCACAGGUAUCAGUCAUUACAUCAUUCCUUAA